UACGGAGGGUGCAAGCGUUGUUCGGAAUUAUUGGGCGUAAAGCGCGUGUAGGCGGCUAUUUAAGUCUGAUGUGAAAGCCCGGGGCUCAACCUCGGAAGUGCAUUGGAAACUGGAUAGCUUGAGUACGGGAGAGGGUAGUGGAAUUUCGAGUGUAGGGGUGAAAUCCGUAGAGAUCACCAGGAAUACCCAUUGCGAAGGCGGCUACCUGGACCGAUACUGACGCUGAGACGCGAAAGCGUGGGGAG
rnacentral:rRNA from 1 species